ensembl:lncRNA
CGAGGACCUGCAAGGAGGAGAGGAGGAUGGCAGCAAAAAGGAAGAACCUGGAUAUAAGAAAGUAUUUUUCAAAGAAACCUUCCAACCCACUGCCAUUAUCUUUCCCUGACAAGUUACUAUUUGACAUGCAUAGCCACAACUGCAACCUGAGUCAUCAUGACCCCUCCACGUCACUGAAGUUAACUAACCUGCAGUGAAGAACACGAAACUCACAAAUGCAGGCUUAAGGGAAAGCUAUACUUCCUGUUCACUGUAUUGUGAUACCAUGAGAUGUCUUCUGAUGAUUGCUAUCAUUACACUGAAAGCAUUUUGAUACAUGAUCCCACUUGCUUA